rnacentral:misc_RNA from 1 species
UAGUUCCUCAAAUCCAACGGCGGAUCUGUGGUAUCCUCUGAGCGUAGUAAAUUUUUAUCUCGCUUUUGUUAGGUGCUGCAGCUCUCAGCCGCUAAAACCCCCAAUUUUUUGUG